rnacentral:rRNA from 1 species
UUAAGCUACAAAGAGCGUAGGGAGGAUACCUAGGCACCAAGAGCCGAAGAAGGACGUGAUAAGCUGCGAAAAGCUAUGGUAAGGAGCAAAUAUCCUAUGACCCAUAGAUAUCCGAAUGAGGGAACUCAUCCACAGAAAAAAGUGUGGAUAUCCAUAUAUGAGUAAAGUAGUAUAUAGGAAGGGAACGCAAGGAACUGAAACAUCUUAGUACUUGUAGGAAGAGAAAGAAAAAUCGAUUCUGUGAGUAGUGGCGAGCGAAAGCGGAAGAGCCCAAACCAAUGUUGCUUGCAACGUUGGGGUUCGGACUACAUAAUCCAUUUAUCGAGCGAAUAAGAAUUGUUUGGGAAGGCAAAUCAUAGAAGGUGAAAAUCCUGUAUUAGAAGCAAGAUGAAGGAGGUAGUAUCCAGAGUAGUGCGAGGCACGUGAAACCUCGUAUGAAAGAGCGGGGACCACCCCGUAAGGCUAAAUACUACUUGGUGACCGAUAGAGAUUAGUACCGUGAGGGAAAGGUGAAAAGAACCCCGGGAGGGGAGUGAAAUAGAACAUGAAACCCUAUGCUUACAAACAGACAAAGCACGUUAAGGUGUGAUGUCGUACUUUUUGUAGAACGGUCCAGCGAGUUAUUGUAUAUGGCAAGGUUAAGCACUAUGUAAGGUGUGAAGCCGAAGCGAAAGCGAGUCUGAAAAGGGCGAAUUAAGUCAUAUGUAAUAGACCCGAAACCGGGUGACCUAACCAUGGUCAGGAUGAAGCUUGAGUAAAAUCAAGUGGAGGUCCGAACUCAUAGACGUUAAAAAGUCUCGGGAUGAACUGUGGUUAGCGGAGAAAUUCCAAUCGAACUCGGAGAUAGCUGGUUCUCCUCGAAAUAGCUUUAGGGCUAGCCUUGAUGUAAUGCUAGUGGAGGUAGAGCACUGAAGGAGCUAGGGGCCUAACCAGGUUACUGAACUCUAUCAAACUACGAAUACCAUAUUGUUAUACUCAGGAGUCAGACUGCGGGAGCUAAGUUCCGUGGUCAAAAGGGAAAGAGCCCAGAUCGUCAAUUAAGGUCCCAAAGAUAUAGUUAAGUGGAAAACGAUGUGAUUUUGCGUAAACAACCAGGAUGUUGGCUUAGAAGCAGCCAUUCAUUCAAAGAGUGCGUAAUAGCUCACUGGUCGAGUGAAGUUGCGCGGAAAAUUACCGGGGCUAAACUAUACACCGAAAUUGCGGAUUUGCAUAGAAAUAUGUAAGUGGUAGAGGAGCAUUCUAUAGUAGGACGAAGCAUAAUCGAAAGGAUAUGUGGACGAGAUAGAAGAGAGAAUGCCGGAAUAAGUAGCGAAAGCAUGGUGAGAAUCCAUGCCAUCGAAAGUCUAAGGUUUCCUGGGGAAGGUUCGUCCGCCCAGGGUAAGUCGGGACCUAAGGUGAGGCCGAAAGGCGUAGCCGAUGGACAGCAGGUUAAAAUUCCUGCACUACCGAAAUACUUAAAAACGAUAAGGGACGCAGGAGAGGAAGAUAAGCGAGGAAGAGGAAAAACUCGUAUCGAAAGAUAUAGUGAAAAUAAAGUAACGAAUUAUCAAGAAUCACACUGACGAGAAAAGCUUAUUGACAUUGUAUUAAGGUACCCGUACCGCAAACCGACACAGGUAGAUGAGGAGAGGAUCCUAAGACGAGCGGGAGAAGCAUUGUUAAGGAACUCGGCAAAUUGACCCCGUAACUUCGGGAGAAGGGGUGCCUAUGUAAAAGUAGGCCGCAGAGAAGAGUCCCAAGCAACUGUUUAACAAAAACACAGGUUUCUGCUAAAUCGAAAGAUGAAGUAUAGGAGCUGACGCCUGCCCAGUGCUGGAAGGUUAAGGGGAAAUGUUAGAGUAAUCGAAGCAUAGAACUAAAGCCCCAGUGAACGGCGGCCGUAACUAUAACGGUCCUAAGGUAGCGAAAUUCCUUGUCAGGUAAGUUCUGACCCGCACGAAAGGCGUAAUGAUCUGGAUACUGUCUCAACCAUAGACUCGGUGAAAUCUUAAUACCUGUGAAAAUGCAGGUUACCCGCUACAGGACAAAAAGACCCCGUGGAGCUUUACUGCAACUUGAUAUUGGAAUCAGGUGUAUCAUGUAGAGGAUAGGUGGGAGACUUUGAUGUUAAGACGCCAGUCUUAACGGAGUCAUCCUUGGAAUACCACCCUUGAUAUGUUUGAUUUCUAACUUGCGCCCAUUAUCUGGGUGGAGGACAGUGUCUGGUGGGCAGUUUGACUGGGGCGGUCGCCUCCCAAAGAGUAACGGAGGCGCCCAAAGGUUCCCUCAAAAUGGUUGGAAAUCAUUUGUAGAGUGUAAUGGCAGAAGGGAGCUUAACUGCGAGACCUACAAGUCAAGCAGAUGCGAAAGCAGGGCAUAGUGAUCUUGCGAUCCCGAAUGGAAGGGUCGUUGCUUAACGGAUAAAAGUUACCCCGGGGAUAACAGGCUGAUCCCACCCAAUAGUUCAUAUAGACGGUGGGGUUUGGCACCUCGAUGUCGGCUCGUCGUAUCCUGGAGGUGGAAUCGCUUCCAAGGGUUGGGCUGUUCGCCCAUUAAAGCGGCACGCGAGCUGGGUUCAGAACGUCGUGAGACAGUUCGGUCCCUAU